UAAGGCUUUUAUUUGAUGAGGUUUUAUUAAACAUACUUUAGGACAAAACUAAUUCUCUCAGUGUUAUCAGACCAAUACUCAGCAUAGUUUCUGGGAAGGGGAAGGAAUCAAGGAUGAUGGAGAGAGAAAGCUAAAUGAUGAUAUAAAUGCUUGUAUGGGAACUGUUGAGUCACGGCCUGAACCACUGACUGAUCACCUGAGGCAAGGACUGGGUCAGCUGUGGGAGCACAGGUGAAGGCAAUUCAGCUGUGUGACCGGAAAACUGGCUCCACCCCUCCUAGACCCCAUUUAAAGGCUGACUAACACUAGAGGAGGGUCUUCUUCUGGAGAUCCUUCCUUUGGAGAGCUUUUCAUUGUGAGCCUAAUCUUCUGAUAUAGGUCUAGGGGUUUGAAGGGCUUCAACUGUGUGAUGCAUCUCUGAUGGCAGAGGUGUCCAAUCUUCAGUUGUUGCAUCAGCAAGAGGAUGGUUGCAGCUGCUGCUGCGCCUGAGCCUCUGGGGCCUGGUAGGCUGCUCUUGGGAGGAUGCUUUCUUCUAGGAAUCAGGACACAAAAGCUGUUGGUGCAUAUUGUUCGCUGCUCGCCAGUGAAAUGGAAAUUUGAGGUCGGGGAGCAGGGUGGAGGCAGCAUUUGUCACUGCUAUCUUUUGCACAAAAAGGGCUCCGAAGCAUCACAUAAUAGCAAGGGCACAGGUAAGUGCAUACUGGGAAUAGAAUCAAAAUAAAGGGAGCGAAAUCUACAUCUUUUGAACUGAUUAAAAAAAGGGUAAUAUGCACUUCCUCCAAGAUGGUGGGAAGUCCAGCUUUUCUGUAGCAUGUGCCAGCCUUCAGGAGCUCUCAUCAGCUGUCUUAUGACUGUACCCUCUCAUUUAGUGGAAACAGUCUGGUGAUUAUUUUCUCACCUUUAGCCUAAAAGAACCUUUUAGGCAUUUAACUGCUUAAGUGCAUUCUGUGCCCUAUUUCUCUGUUUGUGUCCUUAUGUGAAUUUUCUAGAUAGAGCAAGGCUCUUUGGGCAAAUCAGUUCAUACAGACCAAGAGAAGCUUGCUGUUAGAUUCCUCAGGCAUUACAAUGGUGAUGCAGGAUCACUGCGCAUCAGGUGUGCCUGGAGAAUACCUCUGGUGUAAGCAAAACAUCUUUCUGAACUGGUACAGGUCCUUUUUCUUUCAAGCAAGAAUAAGAUCCACUGGUGAUGUUGCUUUCUAUGUGCUCUAAGACAGCAUCCCAAAUGCUGCUGUUUAUCAUACUGAGUGGAAAUCCUAUUAGAAAGGUCUGAAGGCUGAAUGCUGAUGUAGCUAUCUCACAAGCACAGUCAGACUAUCAGUACAGUCAGUCCAUCAUGUACCAGCACCGUAUGUUACCACUGACCUACUUCAAACUUCAGAAAGAGAACGAUUAAAAAACUGCAACCUAUGAUAUGCAGCACAGUGUUUGGUGCUAAUAAUGGCCAAGAAUCACAAAUGAAGCCCAUUUUGGGGCCAGGAAGGGAAAUAGUUGUGCAACAGCAUCACUUCCUACUCAAACACUCUACAGACUGGGAACUAACCAAGGUCUGAGAUAAGAAUCGCGGGGUGAGGCUGAUAUGCACUGAGGUAUGUUGACAAUAAGAGUUGUUUUGAGUCCUUGGUUGUGACUUGUGUGAUCUCUGCCCCCUUUCCUCCAACAUUUGUAGUAAAGCUGGUGGAUAUGAGUUUACACUCCUGUUAGACAACCACUUAUGAAUUCUCUUGAUGCAUUUGUAAGUCACUGGAAACAAAGUCAAUAUUAUUUCUGGUCACAGACAUCCACUUUUGAAGGCCUGCUUCAGAAUUAAUGCCUCCUUUAUUAUGUUGUUUCCCAGUGUCAGAAGCGGAUGUUGGUGGUACGGCAGAAGAGGCUGAACCCUCCCACCAAUAUUUCCUUCUGUUUUGUUGGCAUGUGACAGAUGGCAGCAGAGGUACAGUCCGUUAAAAUGAAAGUGCGGGUGAAGCAUAGGUGUCACUAAAUUCUUCUGCGCAGAAAAUAAGUCACCUAUUGACAUUCAUUGAUGCUUGCUGAACAUUGAUGGAGACCAAACUGUGGAUGUGAGCACACAGUGAAGCAGU